CCUACGGGUGGCAGCAGUGGGGAAUAUUGGACAAUGGGGGGAACCCUGAUCCAGCCAUGCCGCGUGUGUGAAGAAGGCCCUCGGGUUGUAAAGCACUUUCAGUGAGGAAGAACGCCUGGUGGUUAAUACCCAUCAGGAAAGACAUCACUCACAGAAGAAGCACCGGCUAACUCCGUGCCAGCAGCCGCGGUAAUACGGAGGGUGCGAGCGUUAAUCGGAAUUACUGGGCGUAAAGCGCGCGUAGGUGGCUUGAUAAGCCGGUUGUGAAAGCCCCGGGCUCAACCUGGGAACGGCAUCCGGAACUGUCAAGCUAGAGUGCAGGAGAGGAAGGUAGAAUUCCCGGUGUAGCGGUGAAAUGCGUAGAGAUCGGGAGGAAUACCAGUGGCGAAGGCGGCCUUCUGGACUGACACUGACACUGAGGUGCGAAAGCGUGGGUAGCAAACAGGAUUAGAUACCCCUGUAUC
rnacentral:rRNA from 1 species